rnacentral:rRNA from 1 species
GAAUGAACGUUGGCGGCGUGGAUUAGGCAUGCAAGUCGUACGUGUACCCGCAAGGGGAAAGUGGCGAAAGGGAGAGGAAUACGUGGGUACCAACCUUCUGGUCGGGGAUAGCGGCGGGAAACUGCCAUUAAUACCCGAUAACGUCUGCGGACCAAAGGUGUGAUUCCGCCGGAAGACGGGCCCGCGUCCUAUUAGCUAGUUGGUGGGGUAAUGGCCUACCAAGGCAAUGAUGGGUAUGGGGCGUGAGAGCGUGCCCCCACUCACUGGGACUGAGACACUGCCCAGACACCUACGGGUGGCUGCAGUCGAGGAUCUUCGGCAAUGGGCGCAAGCCUGACCGAGCGACGCCGCGUGUGGGAUGAAGGCCUUCGGGUUGUAAACCACUGUCGUAGGGGAGGAAGGCCGUGUGCAGAGCACGGUUUGACCGAUCCUAGGAGGAAGUCCAGGCUAACCUCGUGCCAGCAGCCGCGGUAAGACGAGGUGGACAAACGUUAUUCGGAUUUACUGGGCUUAAAGCGUGCGUAGGCGGCUCAGAAAGUUGGGUGUGAAAGCCCUCGGCUCAACCGAGGAAUUGCGCUCAAAACUACUGAGCUUGAGGGAGAUAGGGGAGAGCGGAACUGAUGGUGGAGCGGUGAAAUGCGUUGAUAUCAUCAGGAACACCGGUGGCGAAGGCGGCUCUCUGGAUCUCUUCUGACGCUGAGGCACGAAAGCUAGGGGAGCAAACGGGAUUAGAUACCCCGGUAGUCCUAGCCUUAAACGAUGAGCACUAGGUCGGAGACCCUCACAGGUUUCUGGCCGUAGCGAAAGUGUUAAGUGCUCCGCCUGGG